rnacentral:misc_RNA from 1 species
GAUGAAGAACGUAGCGAAAUGCGAUAAGUAAUGUGAAUUGCAGAAUUCAGUGAAUCAUCGAAUCUUUGAACGCACAUUGCGCCCAUUAGUAUUCUAGUGGGCACGCCUGUUCGAGCGUCAUUAAGUCCACUUAAGCCCUGCUUAGUGUUGGGAGACUGCUCCAGCGGUGCUACCCUGUAGCUACCCUGCAGCUCCUCAAAGACAGCGGCGGAGUUGUGGUAUCCUCUGAGCUUAGUAACUUGUUCUAGCUUUCGAGUACACCACUUCCCCUGCCGUAAAACCCUUAAUUUUUAAUGGUUGACCUCGGAUCAGGUAGGAAUACCCGCUGAACUUAAGCAUAUCAAUAAGCGGAGGA